GUAACAAGGUCUCCGUUGGUGAACCAGCGGAGGGAUCAUUACCGAGUUAUACAACUCCCAAACCCACUGUGAACCUUACCUCAGUUGCCUCGGCGGGAACGCCCCGGCCGCCUGCCCCCGCGCCGGCGCCGGACCCAGGCGCCCGCCGCAGGGACCCCAAACUCUCUUGCAUUACGCCCAGCGGGCGGAAUUUCUUCUCUGAGUUGCACAAGCAAAAACAAAUGAAUCAAAACUUUCAACAACGGAUCUCUUGGUUCUGGCAUCGAUGAAGAACGCAGCGAAAUGCGAUAAGUAAUGUGAAUUGCAGAAUUCAGUGAAUCAUCGAAUCUUUGAACGCACAUUGCGCCCGCCAGCAUUCUGGCGGGCAUGCCUGUUCGAGCGUCAUUUCAACCCUCGAGCCCCCCCCGGGGGCCUCGGUGUUGGGGGACGGCACACCAGCCGCCCCCGAAAUGCAGUGGCGACCCCGCCGCAGCCUCCCCUGCGUAGUAGCACACACCUCGCACCGGAGCGCGGAGGCGGUCACGCCGUAAAACGCCCAACUUUCUUAGAGUUGACCUCGGAUCAGGUAGGAAUACCCGCUGAACUUAAGCAUAUCAAUAA
rnacentral:misc_RNA from 1 species